rnacentral:rRNA from 1 species
GUAUUCUUGAUCACAUGGGAUUGGAUGAUCGCGGAGCAAACUGCUGCUAGAGGAUGGGCCUGCGGCGCAUUAGCUAGUUGGUGGGGUAACGGCCUACCAAGGCGACGAUGCGUAGCCGACCUGAGAGUGAACGGCCACACUGGGACUGAGACACGGCCCAGACUCCUACGGGAGGCAGCAGUAGGGAAUCUUCCGCAAUGGGCGAAAGCCUGACGCAACGCCGCGUGAGUGAUGAAGGUUUUCGGAUCGUAAAGCUCUGUUGCCAGGGAAGAACGUCCGGUAGAGUAACUGCUACCGGAGUGACGGUACCUGAGAAGAAAGCCCCGGCUAACUACGUGCCAGCAGCCCCCGGUAAUACGUAGGGGGGCAAGCGUUGUCCGGAAUUAUUGGCGUAAAGCGCGCGCAGGCGGCUGCUUUAAGUCUGGGUGUUUAAAACUUU